rnacentral:lncRNA from 1 species
GGUUGCCUAAGGUCGCCUCCGGUUUGACGAUGACCCCAGUGUCAAAACUUUAUCUCAUCUUCUAUUCGUGAAUCUGCAUCACGAUCACCUCACGAACUCUCCUACCAUGGAUGCUCUUAUUUCUCACCAACACAGGUGUGCUUCAGAGGCAGAAAGCUAUAAAAGAAUGGUUUGGAAUACAUAGCUCAUACGCCAGAGUAAGAGAAUAAGAAACAAGGCAGACGCUCUUUUAUUCUUUUGGUAUUCCUUUUAGAUUAGACCAAUACUUGUAACCUGUUGUGGAGAUGUUUUGAUGGUACUAUGGUAUUGGUAAUCGAAAUAAAUUGUUCAAUUUUUCUGUCCAUUUGAUAUUGGUUUUACAGACCUCAACAACUCUUCUAUCUUGU